rnacentral:rRNA from 1 species
AUUGAACGCUGGCGGCAGGCCUAACCCAUGCAAGUCGAGCGAGCGGCGGACGGGUGAGUAAUGUCUGGGAAACUGCCUGAUGGAGGGGGAUAACUACUGGAAACGGUAGCUAAUACCGCAUACCAUCAGAUGUGCCCAGAUGGGAUUAGCUAGUCGGUGGGGUAACGGCUCACCUAGGCGACGAUCCCUAGUUGGUCUGAGAGGAUGACCAGCCACAUGGGAACGGAGACAGGGUCCAGACUCCUACGGUAGGCAGAAGUGGGGAAUAUUGCACAAUGGGCGCAAGCCUGAUGCAGCCAUGCCGCGUGGGUUAAGAAGGCCUUCGGGUUGUAAAGCACUUUCAGCGGGGAGGCGUUACCCGCAGAAGAAGCACCGGCUAACUCCGUGCCAGCAGCCGCGGUAAUAC